GACGAACGCUGGCGGCGUGCUUAACACAUGCAAGUCGAACGGAAAGGCCCUGCUCUUGUGGGGUGCUCGAGUGGCGAACGGGUGAGUAACACGUGAGUAACCUGCCCUUGACUUUGGGAUAACUUCAGGAAACUGGGGCUAAUACCGGAUAGGAGCUCCUGCUGCAUGGUGGGGGUUGGAAAGUUUCGGCGGUUGGGGAUGGACUCGCGGCUUAUCCGCUUGUUGGUGGGGUAGGGGCUUACCAAGGCUUUGACGGGUAGCCGGCCUGGGAGGGUGACCGGCCACAUUGGGACUGAGGUACGGCGCAGACUCCUACGGGAGGCAGCAGUGGGGAAUAUUGCACAAUGGGCGGAAGCCUGAUGCAGCAGCGCCGCGUGCGGGAUGACGGCCUUCGGGUUGUAAACCGCUUUCGCCUGUGACGAAGCGUGAGUGACGGUAAUGGGUAAAGAAGCACCGGCUAACUACGUG
rnacentral:rRNA from 1 species